GUCUGCCAGAUCUACAUAGUGAGUUUUAGGACAGCUAGAGCUACAUAGUGAGACCCUGUUUCAAAAAACAAACGAACAAAAAUAGAAAGGAAAGGAAAGAGAAAAGUAAAAGUGACAGUCCCCAGGUGGGCUGUAGCUCAGCUUGCAGAGGUGCUGGGUUCCAGUCCCGCCACCAUAAAGAUAAAAAUGACAGUGGGAUUUUGUUUUGUUUUUUCUCGUGAUGAUAACACAAUGAAGUUGGAUGUCAAAUAAACUUGAAUUUGAAACCUAGUCCUACACCUUACAUCUUAAUCGACACAGAUGAGUUAUUUAAGUCCUUUAGACCUCGUAUUUAAUAGAGGAACUGAGUAGGUUAGCCCUACAAGAUUCUAAUGAUUGAAUAAGAAAGCAUAGAAAGGAUUUAGAAACAUUUCCUACACAAGUUGUGUUAAUUAGCCAUUGGCCAUUAUUGUGAUUCCUUGUCUUCCUAUUUGCAUACUUGCAUGCAUACACACACACACACACACACACACACACACACACACACACACACACACACUCACACUGCCCCCAAUCACAAAUGGGAAGGGAACGUGAGAGUGAGAUGUUGGAGAGAACUGUACGUUCUUUCCCCACCUCCGGGGUGCUGAGGAGUUCCCGCACACCUCUGCUCCCUGAAGAAUGAACAUUUCUCUAGUAAGGACCCAGGAAAGGGAGGAAGAGACUCACCAGACCUGGGAGAGGUGCCGAAGAUGGGAAACCUGUUCUGGCCCUCAGCUGGUGACUUCAGUAUGGGCACCCGUCCUGCUCCAGGCAGCCCCCCUAAGGGUCUCUCCCAGCACCUCGGUAGGUCCGCCUCUCCCUUGGUCCCUCUACAGGAACUGUUCAUGGUCCAGAAGUUUGCAUAGGGGGCCAGGGGGCACUCACUCCAGUCCUGACCAGCAGCCUCUUCAACUGCUCCAGCCCUUCCCUUCCCCACCCUACUUCAAACACCUAGACAGUUCUGUGGCCAGGCCUUUAACCCUUUCGAUGCCAGUGCCCUGCCCUCUGCAUUCCCUGAACAAAGGGUAGCCACAGGCCUCAGGCUCCUGUGGAAACGGGUGUGGGAACCCAGGAUAGGGUCACCCUGAGGCGGGUGGAUGUGGGACCCAGAUAACUAGGGAACUUUUCUCUUCCCUCUAGCAGGGGACAGGGAGAAGCUGAGGAAGGAAAAGGGAACAUCAUCCCAGGGCAAGAGUCGCAGCUACUUAACAGCAAGGUCUUCCCUGAGGGUUGACUCUCCUACUUUCUCCGGAUCUGACGGCCAAGAUGUGAGGGGAGCGGAAAUGGAGGCAACUGACCGCCUCUGGCCCGGAGCUGAGUGGGGCUGAGGAGCUGCCUGGGUGCCACGGGAGGACUAGAUGGCUGCUCUGCACAAGAUCUGCCUACAACCUGAGAUCAGCGCUCACACCCUUGAGGGUUUUGGGUUUUGUAUAAGGAAAUCCGCUGGCACGCAUCCUCCUAACAGAUUGCCUGAGCUGACAAGGGCGGUCCGGAAGCCGACUGUGCACCCAGUCUGUCUACAGACUCCAGGAGUCCGUAUACUCUCGGCAGCCUCUAUUCCAGGGAGCUUCAAAUUCCACCCUGACUCGGGGGCAGCUGAUCCCUUGAGAGAUGGAGUGUCCAGUUUGGCCUCUUUUCAAAGGACCCAUGCUUGUCAUCUGUGAGCUCCUGGGUUCCCGUCUCAUCUCCUUCCCCACCAGUUCUCACAGUGCCGCCGAGCCGUGCAAGGGAAAGGAGAGAGCCCCCUAGCUGUCCAGAAGAGACCACCCAAGAGUGUACACCAAG